UUCACAAUUGUGGUCUUCUGUCUAUUUUUAUAAAUCUGGAUAGUUUCAGCCAUGGGCAAUUCCCCAACACUCAAGCCAGGCUUGGUCACCCUAGAAUCUUCCCAUUUAAUUCAUCCUAGGAGCGACAGCAAGAUGCCUGAAAGAAGGAUAAUUGAGCAUAGAAGAGAUAGUAAGAAGGCUACUAUAAGUACUGCACUCUCAAAAAAGGCAUAUGAGAGCAAUUUGGAUAUUAAAUGGGAGGAUUCUUGGAUGAUUGGGCCUGGCUUGAGUGUUGAGGAGUUGCCCAUGGCUGAAGCUGUCC
rnacentral:lncRNA from 1 species